AAUACAUCGGAACGUGCCCGAUCGUGGGGGAUAACGGAGCGAAAGCUUUGCUAAUACCGCAUACGAUCUACGGAUGAAAGCAGGGGACCCUCGGGCCUUGCGCGAACGGAGCGGCCGAUGGCAGAUUAGGUAGUUGGUGGGAUAAAAGCUUACCAAGCCGACGAUCUGUAGCUGGUCUGAGAGGACGACCAGCCACACUGGGACUGAGACACGGCCCAGACUCCUACGGGAGGCAGCAGUGGGGAAUUUUGGACAAUGGGCGAAAGCCUGAUCCAGCAAUGCCGCGUGCAGGAUGAAGGCCUUCGGGUUGUAAACUGCUUUUGUACGGAACGAAAAGUCUCGGGAUAAUACCCUGGGACCAUGACGGUACCGUAAGAAUAAGCACCGGCUAACUACGUGCCAGCAGCCGCGGUAAUACGUAGGGUGCAAGCGUUAAUCGGAAUUACUGGGCGUAAAGCGUGCGCAGGCGGUUAUAUAAGACAGAUGUGAAAUCCCCGGGCUCAACCUGGGAACUGCAUUUGUGACUGUAUAGCUAGAGUACGGUAGAGGGGGAUGGAAUUCCGCGUGUAGCAGUGAAAUGCGUAGAUAUGCGGAGG
rnacentral:rRNA from 1 species